rnacentral:rRNA from 1 species
UGGGGAAUUUUGGACAAUGGGGGCAACCCUGAUCCAGCAAUGCCGCGUGUGUGAAGAAGGCCUUCGGGUUGUAAAGCACUUUUGUCCGGAAAGAAAGCGCCGUGGUUAAUACCCGUGGCGGAUGACGGUACCGGAAGAAUAAGCACCGGCUAACUACGUGCCAGCAGCCGCGGUAAUACGUAGGGUGCAAGCGUUAAUCGGAAUUACUGGGCGUAAAGCGUGCGCAGGCGGUCCGCUAAGACAGAUGUGAAAUCCCCGGGCUUAACCUGGGAACUGCAUUUGUGACUGGCGGGCUAGAGUAUGGCAGAGGGGGGUAGAAUUCCACGUGUAGCAGUGAAAUGCGUAGAGAUGUGGAGGAAUACCGAUGGCGAAGGCAGCCCCCUGGGCCAAUACUGACGCUCAUGCACGAAAGCGUGGGGAGCAAACAGGAUUAGAUACCCUGGUAGUCCACGCCCUAAACGAUGUCAACUAGUUGUCGGGUCUUCAUUGACUUGGUAACGUAGCUAACGCGUGAAGUUGACCGCCUGGGGAGUACGGUCGCAAGAUUAAAAACUUAAAUGAAUUGACGGGGUCAUAGCUGUUUCCUG